rnacentral:rRNA from 1 species
UGGGGAAUAUUGCACAAUGGGCGCAACCCUGAUGCAGCCAUGCCGCGUGUAUGAAGAAGGCCUUCGGGUUGUAAAGUACUUUCAGCGGGGGGGAAGGCGAUAAGGUUAAUAACCUUGUCGAUUGACGUUACCCGCAGAAGAAGCACCGGCUAACUCCGUGCCAGCAGCCGCGGUAAUACGGAGGGGGCAAGCGUUAAUCGGAUUUCCUGGGCGUAAAGCGCACGCAGGCGGUCUGUCAAGUCGGAUGUGAAAUCCCCGGGCUCAACCUGGGAACUGCAUUCGAAACUGGCAGGCUAGAGUCUUGUAGAGGGGGGUAGAAUUCCAGGUGUAGCGGUGAAAUGCGUAGAGAUCUGGAGGAAUACCGGUGGCGAAGGCGGCCCCCUGGACAAAGACUGACGCUCAGGUGCGAAAGCGUGGGGAGCAAACA